rnacentral:rRNA from 1 species
AUGCAACCUUCAUUUUGCUCAUUCAUGGAAUUGUAUUUAGUACCUCUAAGAAAGAUGAUUAUCCACCGUAGUAAUGUGGGUUGGCUUGGAUUACUUAGUGUUCUAAUAACCUUGCUUCCGCUCGCCGCUGGCGCACCUCUCCUAACUAUUGCCCAUUUAUUUUGGAAUAAUUUUUUAGGAGGGAUAAUUUUACAUAUUUCUGCCAAAUUCUUCUAUUAUUAA